rnacentral:lncRNA from 1 species
UAUUUUAUCCUAUUCUAGUAACCCUAGUUUUAGCUUAUAAAUAGGGUGGAAAUCAUUGUAACUUUUAUCAUGUUUCGUAGCCGUCAUUCUCUUAAUAGAAUAUUUCCGUUCAUCAUUUAUUCUACCUUUGCACCAACAGUUAAUAGAUUCAAUAAAUUUUGUGAGGGGCAACCACACAUAGAUUUUGAGACCAGUCCAUCAUUUGUCCCGUCACACCUACCUCGUGUCAGUCGCUUAAAUAAAUGUGAUAACAUUUGUGAAGGACACCCCGGCUAAAUAUUUCCAUUACGUUUGCGAGGGGCACCCCUAACCAUAUAUUUUCUACACACUGUCCCAUCACCUGAGCGCUUGUCGGCCGCUUUAUUAAAAUAAAUGCAAUUUGUGAGGGAUUGUCCCUAGCUAAUUAUGACAUUUAAUUAGUGUAGGGUGCCCCCUCACGAAAUAUUUCCAUAUAUUUGCACCACACUUUCUAUUUUCACAUUCGACUAUCUCUUUCUCUUUCUCUAGUUUUUCAUUUCUCCCAAAUUCACUCGAUUAACUUCACUCUUCCACCUUCAAACUCAGAUUUUUCAUCAAAAAAUCUUCAACAAACUUGUCUUUUGAAAGAUAGUUCUAUAACUUUUUUAUUUUUUUUCUUUUUUUUCUUCUAAUUUUCGGAAUAUACGAAAUCCCUAAUUUUAAUUUAUUUUGUUCAUUUUCUAUUUAUUUUUUUAUAAAGGUUUUAACUUUUG